UACAUCCAAAUGGGUUAUGCUAAGAUU
rnacentral:sRNA from 1 species